rnacentral:rRNA from 1 species
CCUGGCUUAGGAUGAACGCUAGCUACAGGCUUAACACAUGCAAGUCGAGGGGCAGCAUUGGGAUAGCUUGCUAUUCAGAUGGCGACCGGCGCACGGGUGAGUAACGCGCAUCCAACCUUCCUGCCAGUAGGGAACAGCCCGGCGAAAGUCGGAUUAAUGCCCUAUGUUCUUCAAUGCGGACAUCUAAGUUGAAGGAAAGAUUCAUCGCUGGCAGAUGGGGAUGCGUCCGAUUAGCUUGCCGGCGGGUAACGGCCACCGGGGCGACGAUCGGUAGGGUUCUGAGAGGAAGGUCCCCCACACUGGUACUGAGACACGGACCAGACUCCUACGGGAGGCAGCAGUGAGGAAUAUUGGUCAAUGGGCGUAAGCCUGAACCAGCCAAGUAGCGUGCAGGACGACGGCCCUACGGGUUGUAAACUGCUUUUAUGCGGGGAUAAAGUGCGGCACGUGUGCCGCUUUGCAGGUACCGCAUGAAUAAGGACCGGCUAAUUCCGUGCCAGCCGCGGC